GAUGAACGCUGGCUGCGUGCCUAACACAUGCAAGUCGAGCGAACAGACCAGGAGCUUGUUCCUUUUACGUUAGCGGCGGCCGGGUGAGUAACACGUGGAUAUCCUACCUCUAAGACUGGCAUAACUUCGAGAAACCGGAGCUAAUACUGGUUACUAUUUUUAACCGAAUGGUUCAUUAGUGAAAGACUGUUUUGCUGUCACUUAUAGAUGGAUCCGCGUCGCAUUAGCUAGUUGGUAAGGUAACGGCUUACCAAGGCAACGAUGCGUAGCCGACCUGAGAGGAGAAUCAGCCACACUGGAACUGAGACACGGUACAGACUAAUACGGGAGGCAGCAGUGGGGAAUCGUACGCUAUGGGAGAAAGCAUGACGGAGAAAAGCCGCGUGGGUGAUGAAGGGCUUCGGAUAGUAAAACUCAGCUAUUAGGGAAGAACAAAUGUGUGAGUAACGAGGCACGUCUUGAAGGUACCUAAUCAAAAAGCAACGGCUAACUACGUG
rnacentral:rRNA from 1 species